GGAGGGGUGGCCGAGCGGCUGAAGGCGCACGCUUGGAAAGCGUGUAACCGGGCAACCGGUUCGCGGGUUCGAAUCCCGCCCCCUCCGCCA
rnacentral:tRNA from 2 species